rnacentral:rRNA from 1 species
GAUGAACGCUGGCGGCGUGCCUAAUACAUGCAAGUCGAGCGAACAGACGAGGAGCUUGCUCCUCUGACGUUAGCGGCGGACGGGCGAGUAACACGUGGAUAACCUACCUAUAAGACUGGGAUAACUUCGGGAAACCGGAGCUAAUACCGGAUAAUAUAUUGAACCGCAUGGUUCAAUAGUGAAAGACGGUUUUGCUGUCACUUAUAGAUGGAUCCGCGCCGCAUUAGCUAGUUGGUAAGGAAACGGCUUACCAAGGCAACGAUGCGUAGCCGACCUGAUAGGGUGAUCGGCCACACUGGAACUGAGACACGGUCCAGACUCCUACGGGAGGCAGCAGUAGGGAAUCUUCCGCAAUGGGCGAAAGCCUGACGGAGCAACGCCGCGUGAUUGAUGAAGGUCUUCGGAUCGUAAAACUCUGUUAUUAGGGAAGAACAAAUGUGUAAGUAACUAUGCACGUCUUGACGGUACCUAAUCAGAAAGCCACGGCUAACUACGUG